GGAGAGUUCAGCGAGCUGU
rnacentral:miRNA from 1 species